GCUGAUUAUUAUCUCCUGCUGACAGGUGCAAAUUAAUUAUCGGCUCACCAGUGUUGAAAUCACAAAUUCCAUCUAAAGCAGCUCCAGAGGAGAAAAGUGGGCGUGUGACUGUCUGUGUAUUGAGGGACGCAUUGAGCCAUCAGUUCCCCGACAGCUGCAGCGUCUGUUUCACAGUAUUGAUCCAUAAAACAAUCGGAUGGACGGUCACACAGGGUAGCAACCAGGAUUUUCCUAAUUUGCUCAUGAAUCUUUGUUUGAAAAUGACCUUUACUGCAUUUUAAGAAUCAUUUGUGUUAAAAGUCAGAAUUGCUGAAAACUGAAACUUUAACGCAUCAUCAUCAUCAUCAUCAUCAUCAUCAUCAUCAUCAUCACUGAUGCCUUAUUACGAUCAAAUCAAGAGGGGAAUUCAUGUUUUAAUUCCAAAUAUCUGUAAAUGAAUGUUUAAGGGCCUUUAAAUGUCAGUGGAGGAGAAAAGUACAGAUGAAAGUUUGUUUUCAGUUAUAGCGAAAUUAUGAUUGCCUCGUUUAGUUCAUGGAAAUGGAGCAAAUAACCAUAUAAAUCCACAUCUCAACAGGGAUGCAGGAGACCUGGAGAUUCACCACCAUAAGGGGAGACGUCUCAACCGACACCAGGCCAGCGACCCUGCCGACGACUCUCAGUCCUUUCCUCUCCACACCCGGGGAUGAGCCGGGCUCUCUCAGCUUACAUUUGGACUGUUGACAGAUCGAAGCUCAAACAGCUGGAUGACGACUGCACGGCUGUUUCACAUCUGGAGGACGCCUUCAGCUGCAAGGGACAGACAACCGCUGCUUAAUAUCAGGUGAAAUGUUGUGGAAAUGAUGUCAAAAGAGGAAGUUACAACCAGGAAACUGUAAUUUAACACUUAUUUAUAUCAUUACAUUGCUAAAUGUGCCUAGUAAAUAUUAAUGUUGCCACAUAAAUAGACUCUCAAACUUGAUAUGAGUGAAACAUUUUAACAGUAUUAUGAGUUUUUAAACUUGUUAUCCAGAAACUUUUCCACAUAUUGAAUAUAGAAAGGGAUUCGUUAGAAAAGAGGAUUCCGUGUGUGUGAAGAGCAAGAGCCUGAAGUGUCGGAUUAUUUUAAUACGCAACCAAAAAUUAUAUAUCACAUUAAUUAUACGUGGCUGAAACCACAAAAAGC
rnacentral:lncRNA from 1 species